AGAAAUAUUUAAAAAGCGAUGGCAUAAGUAUUUGUGAAGUAAUUGCGAAUAUCGAACAUUAGCUAGAACCCCAGGACGAGAAACAUGUUAAACAGUGUCCGUUAUUCUCUCCUGUUCAUUUCUUUUGUCCUGGCAUCGGCACUCUUUCUAACAGCAGAUGCAGUCCCUGGGUGCAAUUGCAGAGUUCCAAAGGGACCGAUAUGCCAGCGCCGCUGUAGACCUAGAAGACCUGGAUAAGGAGUUCGUACGACUCAAAAUGCUCUGGAGCGUACACAUUAUGGUUUAUACUAAAUGUUAUUUUGACGUAACUGAGAUAUAAAUAUAUGAGUCAUACAACUAUAUGUGAUUGCAACUUAUUAUAUCAAUAAUAAAGGUACACGAGAUACCUCGUACAUAGCACUGUACGACGAAAUCAUAAUGACGAGGUAUCCCGUCAAUAUCAUCGUUCCUUUGACACCGUGAAACCGAGAUAUUUCGCCCAUUGUAGCGAAAGUCUAUCGUAGCCUUGGACCUGUUUGUCAGUCAAAAUCCUCUGACCUUUUUCCGCCGCGUGCUGUCUCUUAACCCUUUCAAUACGAACAUUCUGUCCGCCGCGACACUCCCGCUGUACGAGGUGCCACG